UUGAACUAACAAAUUGAUGUUGAGCUUUUCUUAUCGUUUAUCUACAGUUCUUUCUAACCAAGAGUUUAGUCACCCGACAUCGAUCACUAGCAGAAUGCGAAUAAAUAAAGGAUGGCCGAGAAGUCAAUAUGCACUACUGUAUCAGUUGACUAUAGAUUUAAAGUGGUAUAUAUUAGAUGCUGCUUACCUUAUUGAGAAUGCUUUAAGCCAACUGAGGUUCGAGGACUUGAGCAGAGGAAGUUUCCUGGAAAGUUCCUAUUGCUGAGGUCGGCUUCAGACUUGAGCAGGUGAAAGUGAAGUUAAAGUGAUUUCAAAGAUAUCGAAUAUUCUCAGGCCGCCCAUGAAGCUUAUUGCAGCAAGGGAAGGAAUGAGCUUCGCCCCUUUGA